CCUACGGGUGGCUGCAGUGGGGAAUAUUGGACAAUGGGGGGAACCCUGAUCCAGCCAUGCCGCGUGUGUGAAGAAGGCCCUCGGGUUGUAAAGCACUUUCAGUGAGGAAGAACGCCUGGUGGUUAAUACCCAUCAGGAAAGACAUCACUCACAGAAGAAGCACCGGCUAACUCCGUGCCAACAGCCGCGGUAAUACGGAGGGUGCGAGCGUUAAUCGGAAUUACUGGGCGUAAAGCGCGCGUAGGUGGCUUGAUAAGCCGGUUGUGAAAGCCCCGGGCUCAACCUGGGAACGGCAUCCGGAACUGUCAAGCUAGAGUGCAGGAGAGGAAGGUAGAAUUCCCGGUGUAGCGGUGAAAUGCGUAGAGAUCGGGAGGAAUACCAGUGGCGAAGGCGGCCUUCUGGACUGACACUGACACUGAGGUGCGAAAGCGUGGGUAGCAAACAGGAUUAGAUACCCUGGUAGUC
rnacentral:rRNA from 1 species